AUUGAACGCUGGCGGCAUGCCUUACACAUGCAAGUCGAACGGUAACAGGUCUUCGGAUGCUGACGAGUGGCGAACGGGUGAGUAAUACAUCGGAACGUGCCCGAUCGUGGGGGAUAACUACUCGAAAGAGUAGCUAAUACCGCAUACGAUCUACGGAUGAAAGCGGGGGAUCUUCGGACCUCGUGCGGACGGAGCGGCCGAUGGCAGAUUAGGUAGUUGGUGGGAUAAAAGCUUACCAAGCCGACGAUCUGUAGCUGGUCUGAGAGGACGACCAGCCACACUGGGACUGAGACACGGGCCAGACUCCUGCGGGAGGCAGCAGUGGGGAAUUUUGGACAAGGGGCGAAAGCCUGAUCCAGCAAUGCCGCGUGCAGGAUGAAGGCCUUCGGGUUGUAAACUGCUUUUGUACGGAACGAAAAGACUCCUUCUAAUACAGGAGGUCCAUGACGGUACCGUAAGAAUAAGCACCGGCUAACUACGUGCCAGCAGCCGCCGUAAAAC
rnacentral:rRNA from 1 species